UCAGAUGUUGAGCGUGAAGGAUAACGUUGCGUCAGCAACGGCCCGAAGGGCGAGGCGAAGCCGAGUCAUCCUGCACGACCCACCA
rnacentral:sRNA from 1 species